rnacentral:rRNA from 1 species
CCUACGGGUGGCAGCAGUGGGGAAUAUUGCACAAUGGGGGAAACCCUGAUGCAGCGACGCCGCGUGAGUGACGAAGUAUUUCGGUAUGUAAAGCUCUAUCAGCAGGGAAGAAAAUGCCGGUACCUGAUUAAGAAGCCCCGGCUAACUCCGUGCCAGCAGCCGCGGUAAUACGUAGGGGGCAAGCGUUCUCCGGAUUUACUGGGUGUAACGGGAGCGUAGACGGCAGCACAAGGCUGGAGUGAAAGGCCGGUGCUUAACCCCGGAACUGCUGUGGAAACUGUGCAGCUAGAGUGCAGGAGAGGUAAGCGGAAUUCCUAGUGUAGCGGUGAAAUGCGUAGAUAUUAGGAGGAACACCAGUGGCGAAGGCGGCUUACUGGACGGUAACUGACGUUGAGGCUCGAAAGCGUGGGUAGCAAACAGGAUUAGAUACCCGGGUAGUC